GCCUUCGUGGUGUAACAGUAGCAUACUUGGAUCAUAUUCAAGAGGUCCGGGUUCGAGUCCUGGGGAGGGCA
rnacentral:tRNA from 1 species